UUGUAAUUCUCAAGGUUGACCCUGAUAGUCCUUGCACAGUGAUCUUCAGAUCUUAAAAGAAAAACAAGGGAUAGGAGACAUUUUGCUUAUCUUUUAAGUGCUCCUGACAGCAUCUCAGAGGACGAUGCCCUCUGGCUUACUCUCUGGGAAAUGCUGCUCUGUUGGAAAUCUGGAGUUCUGAGUGAUUCCCAUGUGUUUUCUGCUGCACAGCAGGACAUGCUGAAGUGAUUCCUUCAUGAGCAGAUGUUAGAGGUCUCCUUUUGACAGCUUGUUACAAAAUUGAUCACAAAUAUACUAUUAGGUAUAUAUUGGGUGAAGGAGCAUUAUGUAUGAAACCUCUCACAAAACAGCUCCUACUUUCAAGAAUGAAAAAGGUAUCCCAGCACUUUGGGAGGCCAAGGUGGAUGGAUCACAAGGUCAGGAGAUCGAGACCAUCCUGGCUAACACGGUGA